CAGGGUGACAGCCGCUAUAAAGCCAGGCCUGCCAGCCCCAAGCGGCUCCUUCAGCCCCCGAGAACCUUAACCCCCCUGUUGUGAGACAAAAAGAAAAAUGGAGCCGGGUGCAGUGGCUCACGCCUGUAAUCCCAGCACUUUGGGAGGCCGAGGCGGGCGGAUCACGAGGUCAGGAGUUCGAGACCAGCCUGGCCAGCAUGGUGAAACCCCGUCUCUACUAAAAAUACAAAAAAAAUUAGCUGGGCAUGGUGGCACACGCCUGUAGUCCCAGCUACUUGGGAGGCUGAGGCAGGAGAAUCGUUUGAACCUGGCAGGUAGAGGUUGCAGUGAGCUGAGAUUGUGCCACUGCACUCCAACCUGGGCGACAGAGCGAGACUCCGUCUCAAAAAAAUAAAAUAAAAUAAAAUAAAAAUAAAUAAAUUUGAAACAGAGUUUUGCUCUGUCACCCA
rnacentral:lncRNA from 1 species